GGACUACCGGGGUUUCUAAUCCCGUUUGCUCCCCUGGCUUUCGCGCCUCAGCGUCAGUAGAGGUCCAGCGCGCCGCUUUCGCCACCGGUGUUCCUUCCGAUAUCUACGCAUUUCACCGCUCCACCGGAAGUUCCGCACGCCCCUACCUCCCUCGAGACCCACAGUAUCAAAGGCUCUUCCACGGUUGAGCCGUGGGCUUUCACCCCUGACUUGUAAGCCCGCCUACGCGCCCUUUAAGCCCAGUGAUUCCGAAUAACGUUUGCACGGUUCGUCUUACCGCGGCUGCUGGCAC
rnacentral:rRNA from 1 species